rnacentral:lncRNA from 1 species
UGUUUAAGGGCUUGUAAGUAAGCAUUUCACACUAAGGUCUACACCUGUUGUAUUCGCAAUGUGGGACAAAGUUGGAUUUGAUUUGGGGAAAUUAUUUCUGUGGGAUGAAUGUACAAUCCCUUGUUUUAAAGAACAGUCUCACUCUUCUGCUGUGCAGGUACAUCCUUCAUCCUGAAAGAGGUGGGAGAGCAUCUGGUCGACGUGAUGAAAGAUGGACAGCAUUUGGCCAGCAGUCCCAUCCCUCUCACCAUCACCCAGUUAGAGAUUGCAGACCCCAGAUGGGUCAAGUUCUUUAGACCAGGGCUCGUGACGGGGAGCGCACUUUUGAAAUGUCAGACUUUGUUGUAGAUAGACAAGAUGCAGGUGAGUCACAAAUCUCCCCCUGAAACAAAAACAUAUCACCAUGUGAAUAUUUUCAGAAAUUCGACUAAGACUUUGUGGCUGAACAAUUUAUCAGCCUAUGGGAGACUGACUCUGGCCAUCAAGGGUCCCAGUACUGUCUAGGUCCAGACGGAGGAUGGGUUCUGUGUCGUCUCCUUCUGCCCCACGGAGCCUGGGGCCUACACCCUCUCAGACAAAUUCACGGAGGAACAUGUGCCAGGUCUGGAUGCCCGACACAUUUCUGCCCAUGUGUCCAGUCCCUCUGGGGCCAUAGAAGAAGCAGACAUCACAACAACAGAAGAUGACAUCUACUCUGAGCUUCAUGCCCAGUGAGACGGGUGUCCAUGCACUUAGUGUGAGCUGAUUUCAGUAUCUGGGCUCGAGGCAGGUGCCGGUAACAAUGGAGGGCCCAGGUCAGGCAGAGCUCACCUUUGAGGACAGGGAAGAUGGCUUCUGUGGGAUCUCCUACAUUGCUCAGGAACCAGGCAUUUAACUAGGCAAGUUGGUUAAGAACAAUUUCUUAUUUAUAAUGACGGCCUACCCCGGCCAAACCCUAAUGACGCCGGGCCAAUUGUGCGCUAUGGGACUAUGAAGUGUCAGUCAAAUUCAAUGACGAGCACAUUCAGGACAGUCCUUACCUGGUGCCAGUGUAUGGCUCUGCUGGAGAUGAUGCAUCAGGGUCGGGACAGACCAAAGGUAUCUAUCAGUACUAUUAUUUUAUGGAGAUUUACUGUCUCAAAUGUGUCUUUCCAUAUCUCAUUUAGAGGGGGAAAUUAGGCGCACAAACUACAUACGGAUCAUAUCGUAACAUUUUAUCACCCAUCACAGGUCAUCUGAUGAGGAAGGGUAAUCAAUGGCUGAUUUGCAUCCUCUCUAUGGUCCUCCUUCCAGACUGAUGCCUAUAAGGUUGUCAGUAGCGGGCCAGGCCUGAGUGAAGCCUGUAUGGGAAGGAGAAACAUCUUCAAUGUGGACUGCAGUAAAGCUGGUGAGGCCAUAAAAUCUCCUCCCUCGGUUGACAUACAAGAUUCUACUUGAUUGGUCAAUUCAGAAAGCCUAGAGAGCCUCAGAGCAUGCACAGACCAGCUGGCUGGUGUGUUUACGGACAUAUUCAAUCAAUCCCUAUCCCAGCCUGCUGUCACCACAUGCUUCAAGAUCGCCACCAUUGUUCCGGGACCCAAGAAGGAAAAAAUAUCUGAACUAAAUGACUACUGCCCCAUAGCACUCACUUCUGUCAUCAUGAAGUGCUUUGAGAGACUAGUCAAGGAUCAUAUCACCUCCACCUUACCGGCCACCAUAGACCCACUUCAGUUUGCAUACCGCCCCAACAGGUCCACAGACGAUGCAAGAAUGCUGUUCAUUGACUGCAGUUCAGCAUUCAACACCAUAGUACCCUCCAAGCUCAUCAUCAAGCUGGAGGCCCUGGGUCUCAACCCCGCCCUGUGCAAUUGGGUCCUGGACUUUCUAAUGGGCUGCAGCUGUCCAGGUGGUGAAUGUAGGAAACAACAUCUCCACUUCGCUGACUAUCAACACUGGGGGGGCCCACAAGGGUGCGUUCUCAGCCUUCUCCUGUACUCCAUGUUCACCCAUGACUGCGUGGCCAUGCAUGCCUCCAACUCAAUCAAGUUUGCAGACGACACAACAGUUGUGGACUUGAUUAACAACAACGACGAGACAGCCUACAAGGAGGUGGUGAGGGCACUCGGAGUGUGGUGUCAGGAAAAUAACCUAACUCAACGUUGCUGCCUACAUUGAGACUCAAUCACUGGACACUUUAAUAAAUAGAUCACUGGACACUUUAAAUAAUGCCACUUUAACAAUGUUUACUUAUCUUACAUUACUCAUGUGUAUAUACUGUAUUUUAUUGCACCUUGCCUAUGCCGAUCGGCCAUCGCUCAUCCAUAUAUACUACUCAAAAAAAUAAAGGGAACACUUAAACAACACAUCCUAGAUCUGAAUGAAAGAAAUAAUCUUAUUAAAUACAUUUUUCUUUACAUAGUUGAAUAUGCUGACAACAAAAAUCACACAAAAAUAAUCAAUGGAAAUCCAAUUUAUCAACCCAUGGAGGUCUGGAUUUGGAGUCACACUCAAAAUUAAAGUGGAAAACCACACUACAGGUUGAUCCAACUUUGAUGUAAUGUCCUUAAAACAAGUCAAAAUGAGGCUCAGUAGUGUGUGUGGCCUCCACGUGCCUGUAUGACCUCCCUACAACGCCUGGGCAUGCUCCUGAUGAGGUGGCGGAUGGUCUCCUGAGGGAUCUCCUCCCAGACCUGGACUAAAGCAUCCGCCAACUCCUGGACAGUCUGUGGUGCAACGUGGCGUUGGCGGAUGGAGCGAGACAUGAUGUCCCAGAUGUGCUCAAUUGGAUUCAGGUCUGGGGAACGGGCGGGCCAUUCCAUAGCAUCAAUGCCUUCCUCUUGCAGAAACUGCUGACACACUCCAGCCACAUGAGGUCUAGCAUUGUCUUGCAUUAGGAGGAACCCAGGGCCAACCGCACCAGCAUAUGGUCUCACAAGGGGUCUGAGGAUCUCAUCUCGGUACCUAAUGGCAGUCAGGCUACCUCUGGUGAGCACAUGGAGGGCUGUGCGGCCCCUCAAAGAAAUGCCACCGCACCCCAUGACUGACCCACCGCCAAACCGGUCAUGCUGGAGGAUGUUGCAGGCAGCAGAACGUUCUCCACAGCGUCUCCAGACUCUGUCACGUCUGUCACGUGCUCAGUGUGAACCUGCUUUCAUCUGUGAAGAGCACAGGGCGCCAGUGGCGAAUUUGCCAAUCUUGGUGUUCUCUGGCAAAUGCCAAACGUCCUGCACGGUGUUGGGCUGUAAGCACAACCCCCACCUGUGGACGUUGUGCCCUCAUACCACCCUCAUGGAGUCUGUUUCUGACCGUUUGAGCAGACACAUGCACAUUUGUGGCCUGCUGGAGGUCAUUUUGCAGUGCUCUGGCAGUGCUUCUCCUGCUCCUCCUUGCACAAAGGCGGAGGUAGCGGUCCUGCUGCUGGGUUGUUGCCCUCCUACGGCCUCCUCCAUGUCUCCUGAUGUACUGGCCUGUCUCCUGGUAGCGCCUCCAUGCUCUGGACACUACGCUGACAGACACAGCAAACCUUCUUGCCACAGCUCGCAUUGAUGUGCCAUCCUGGAUGAGCUGCACUACCUGAGCCACUUGUGUUGGUUGUAGACUUCGUCUCAUUCUACCACUAGAGUGAAAGCACCGCCAGCAUUCAAAAGUGACCAAAACAUCAGCCAGGAAGCAUAGGAACUGAGAAGUGGUCUGUGGUCCCCACCUGCAGAACCACUCCUUUAUUGGGGGUGUCUUGCUAAUUGCUUAUUUCCACCUGUUGUCUAUUCCAUUUGCACAACAGCAUGUGAAAUGUAUUGCCAAUCAGUGUUGCUUCCUAAGUGGACAGUUUGAUUUCACAGAAGUGUGAUUGACUUGGAGUUACAUUGUGUUGUUUAAGUGUUCCCUUUAUUUUUUUGAGCAGUGUAUUUAUAUGUACAGAUUCUCAUUCACCCCUUUAGAUUUGUGUGUAUCAGGUAGUUGUUGGCGGUGUUAGAUUACUAGUUCAAUAUUACUGCAAUGUCUGCACUAGAAGCACAAGCAUUUCGCUACACUCGCAUUAACAUCUGCUAACCGUGUGUAUGUGACCAAUAAAAUUUGAUUUGUGUGAAGCUCAAUAACCUUGAAUCUCUGUGAGCUGUAAAGGAGGGGCUCAUUAUCUCACUGAGUC